rnacentral:rRNA from 1 species
UACGUAGGGUGCAGGCGGUAAUCGGAAUUACUGGGCGUAAAGCGUGCGCAGGCGGUCUGCUAAGACAGGUGUGAAAUCCCCGAGCUCAACUUGGGAAUUGCGCUUGUUACUGGCAGGCUAGAGUGUGGCAGAGGGGGGUGGAAUUCCACGUGUAGCAGUGAAAUGCGUAGAUAUAUGGAGGAACACCGAUGGCGAAGGCAGCCCCCUGGGUUAACACUGACGCUCAGGCACGAAAGCGUGGGGAGCAAACAGG